rnacentral:rRNA from 1 species
AGUGAACGCUGGCGGUAGGCCUAACGCAUGCAAGUCGAACGGCAGCACAGUAAGAGCUUGCUCUUACGGGUGGCGAGUGGCGGACGGGUGAGGAAUACAUCGGAAUCUACUUUUUCGUGGGGGAUAACGUAGGGAAACUUACGCUAAUACCGCAUACGACCUACGGGUGAAAGCAGGGGAUCUUCGGACCUUGCGCGAUUGAAUGAGCCGAUGUCGGAUUAGCUAGUUGGCGGGGUAAAGGCCCACCAAGGCGACGAUCCGUAGCUGGUCUGAGAGGAUGAUCAGACACACUGGAACUGAGACACGGUCCAGACUCCUACGGGAGGCAGCAGUGGGGAAUAUUGGACAAUGGGCGCAAGCCUGAUCCAGCCAUACCGCGUGGGUGAAGAAGGCCUUCGGGUUGUAAAGCCCUUUUGUUGGGAAAGAAAAGCAGCAGGUUAAUACCCCGCUGUUCUGACGGUACCCAAAGAAUAAGCACCGGCUAACUUCGUG